UGAAGAAAAUUCUGUUUGUCCUGCCUAGACUCACUCAUGUGGCCCUUGGCAGCUCAACUGGAUGGGCUGGGUCUCUGUCUGGCCUGUCACACUGGUCUUCUUCACAAUAUGGUGGUGUCAAGAUUCCAAGACCAUAGCCCCAGUGAUCUUCAUAAAGUAAUGAAUAAUAUUUACAUUUGGAAGAAAGAAGAGGGAAGAAGAUUAAAAAAAAAAAAGAAAUAAGAGGAUGUGGCUGCAUUCUACCUAGUGAUUUUACUGAUGGAUAACUUAAAAUAGUGGGAGAUGCUGUUGGAAAUCUGUGCCCUGCAGCCUGAUCACCAAUGGCCAGCACCUGCAUCUGUAUAAGAGGGCUGGCUUCAGGCUGCUGGAAUCUACUCUGCCAGUAUGGAACAGUCCAAAUAAAACAGAACCAGAGCUUGAACUCAUGACCACUGACCUCUGACCUGGAUGAAGUUACACAUCUCAUUCUACAUUUACCAUAUUAAACCAAUCCACAAAGAAAAAAACUUCCUAGAACAGUAUAUUAUCUCCUAUUUCUAUUCCUUGUCUUUCUGCUUCCUUCUAUAGAAACUCCUCUUCUUGAUCUGUCUUCCCCUGCUAUGUUCCCCACUAAUAGAGCACAUUUCCAUCACUCCUUGGAUCUACUACUUCCCAUGACCUUAAGUUGUCAACUUCUUUGAAUUUUUAAAGAUCAUUCCUUUUAUUAAACUAUAGUAGCAUCUGCAUAAAAUGUGUUUUACCAAAGCAUGAUCUGUAAAACCUAAAAAAUGAAGACAGCAAGUGUUUGAGGCUAUGAGGGUGACCCAGAGAAUCCUUGGUCAAUAGAAGGACAGGAGGCAGCAGUCAUUGGAUAAGGUGCCUUUCUUUUAAUAAAAUGCACUAGGGACUCAGUGCCCAUAGCCCGGUUCUCAGCAUGGCCAGGAGGAAGCAAGCAUUUACAUAGCUACUCAACACUGAAAGGCUACUGUCAGUUGCAUCUCUUGCAACUAAAAUAUGAACGUAAGGAUUGUCAAAAUGGGGAGAGAUGUAGGUGAGGAAGAAGAGAAACAUCACAAGGGGAGCGCAUGUAGAUUAGAUGUCUUGCCCUGCUGUGCUACAUUUGCGGUACAUGAACACAGGAAGGGGAGGGCACAUCUCUGUAUUGUUUGCAUGUGCUGGGCUUAAAAAAUGAGUAUUACUGUGCUUUUAAGGUAGAUUAUGCCAACGAUGUGGCUUAAGUAGUGAUUUCUGCCAAUGUCAGGGUCCUGGCUAGAGACAGGAGGAACAGGCUAUUAACACCUGCAAUGCCAAUGCUUUUUGUUUCUGGUUAGAGAGAAGCUCCUGCACCAGGAAACACACCAAAGCAGAUACCAAGGACUGGGGAGAAGGGUGUGGUUUCCCAAAUAGACGUGUAAAUAUGGCAAGAGUUGGUGCCUUUUUAUCUGAGAGUUGGUGCAAUAGAACCCAGUGACUCAAUCUGGGAAAGAGCCUCAAUGGUGUCAGUUAAGUCAUCAUUUCACAUGGAGCUUUGCUGCAAUUUUCACUGCAAUUUUUGUUUGUGAACUCAAUUAACUCAUAUGGAACAUUGCUCCAGCUGACUAGACACAAAUGGACCUGGUUAUCAUAUCGUAACUCCCACCUAACAGAAACUUUUUUUUUUUAAUGUAAGUUCUAUGCCAAGUCACAUGCUCUUACCAACUGAGC